UACGUAGGGGCGCAAGCGUUAUCCGGAAUUAUUGGGCGUAAAGAGCUCGUAGGCGGUUUGUCGCGUCUGACCCGUGAAAGUCCGGGGCUCAACUGCCGGAUACUGGCGGUGGGUACAGGCAGACUAGAGUGAUGUAGGGAGACUGGAAUUCCUGGUGUAGCGGUGAAAUGCGUAGAUAUCCGGAGGAACACCAAUGGCGAAGGCAGUGUCCUGGGAAGUACCUGACGCUCAGGUGGCGAAAGCUAGGGAGCGAACAGG
rnacentral:rRNA from 1 species